UACAGAGGUCUCAAGCGUUGUUCGGAUUCAUUGGGCGUAAAGGGUGCGUAGGCGGCGCGGUAAGUCGGGUGUGAAAUCUUGGAGCUUAACUCCGAAACUGCAUUCGAUACUGCCGUGCUUGAGGACUGGAGAGGAGACUGGAAUUUACGGUGUAGCGGUGAAAUGCGUAGAUAUCGGGAGGAACACCAGUGGCGAAGGCGGCGAUCUGGGAAGAUACUGACGCUGAGGAGCGAAAGCAUGGGGAGCGAACAGG
rnacentral:rRNA from 1 species